GCAUUAAUGGGGCAGUGGUAACCUGGGUUGUUGCCAUUUGCAGUGGACGAGUUCGUAAGCAUCGACCCGCCGGGGGUUCAAUUCCCCCUUAAUGCA